UAUGGCCAUAUCUUUUUGAAACACCAUUCCUCGUAUGAUCACCAAAGUUAAGCAACAUCAAGCCUAGCCAUUACUUAGAUGGGUGGCCACUUGGGAAUACCAGGUGCUGUAAG